CAAUAGCGUAUAUUAAAGUUGUUGCGGUUAAGAAGCUCGUAGUUGGAUUUCUGCUGAGAACGACCGGUCCGCCCUUUGGGUGUGUAUCUGGCUCUUUCUUGGCAUCUUCUUGGUGAACGUUGCUGCACUUGACUGUGUGGAGCGCUACCCAGGACUUUUACUUUGAGGAAAUUAGAGUGUUUCAAGCAGGCAUACGCCUUGAAUACAUUAGCAUGGAAUAAUAAGAUAGGACCUCGGUUCUAUUUUGUUGGUUUCUAGAGCUGAGGUAAUGAUUAAUAGGGAUAGUUGGGGGCAUUCGUAUUUAACUGUCAGAGGUGAAAUUCUUGGAUUUGUUAAAGACGGACUACUGCGAAAACAUUUGCCAAGGAUGUUUUCAUUGA
rnacentral:rRNA from 1 species